AAGGAAAAUAAAAGUUUAAAAAAGUAUAAAUUAAUCUUAGUACCUUUUGCAUUAUGGUUCAACGAGAUUUAUUUAUAAUAUAGUAAACUCUAGAAAAAAAAGGAGCUAUAUAUAUACCCUAUUAAUGUGGCAAAAUUAAAAUUGAUUUAUUUAUAGAAGUGAAAUGCUUAUCGAAUUUUUUGAUAGCUAGUUGAAAGAGACAGGUAUCUAAGUACCAGCUAAAAUUAUAUUAAAUUAUUUUUUAAAUCAUUAUAACUUUAACUACCAUUUUAUUAGGCUAAGCUAAUAAAAUUUUAAAGAAAAAUAAAAAUAUAUUUUUUCAAUGUAAGCUUAGAAGUUACUAACAUAAUAAUAGUAUUUUAACAAAAACAACAAAAAUUAUAUUUUUAUUUCUUUUCAUUUAUCUUUUCUUAUUUAAAAAUCAUAUUUUAAAAUCGCUUAUGUUAAAAUGAGUAUUAAAAUUAGAGUCUAGUUUAUAAAGAGCAAGAAUAAAAACCAUUAUAAUCUAAAUUUAUAUAAAUAUAAAAAAGGAACUCGGCAAAUAUAUACCUCGCCUGUUUAUCAAAAACAUCGCUCUUUGAAAAUUAUAUAUAAAGAGUCGUGCCUGCCCAGUGAAUAUUUUUUAACGGCCGCAGUACCCUGACUGUGCUAAGGUAGCAUAAUCACUUGUUUUUUAAUUGAAAGCUUGUAUGAAUGGCUUGACGUAGGUAAAGCUGUCUCUUUUAUACUAAAUAGAAAUUAAUUUUUAAGUGCAGAAGCUUAAAUUUAACCAAAAGACGAAAAGACCCUAUCGAGCUUGAAAAUUAUAAUUAAAUUAAGUUUAUAGAAAAACAACUUUUAAUUAAUUUUUUUUGUUGGGGCGACAAACGAACAAAUAAAGCUUCUUUUUAUUAUAAAAAUUUAUAAAUUGUUAGAUCCAUAAUUUAUGAUUAAAAGAAAAAGCUACCGUAGGGAUAACAGCGUUAUUUUUUCAGAGAGCUCUAAUCGAAGAAAAAGUUUGCGACCUCGAUGUUGGAUUAAAGUAACUUUUAAGUGCAGAAGCUUAAAAAGUGGGUCUGUUCGACCCUUAAACCUUUACAUGAUCUGAGUUCAGACCGGCGUAAGCCAGGUUGGUUUCUAUCUUUGGGUAAAAACUCUAUAUUUUAGUACGAAAGGACCAAGUAUAGUAAAUAAUUU
rnacentral:rRNA from 1 species